rnacentral:rRNA from 1 species
AUUGAACGCUGGCGGCAUGCCUAACACAUGCAAGUCGAACGGCAGCACAGCAGUAGCAAUACUGUGGGUGGCGAGUGGCGGACGGGUGAGGAAUACGUCGGAAUCUGCCCAGUCGUGGGGGAUAACUAGCCGAAAGGUUAGCUAAUACCGCAUACGACCGAGAGGUGAAAGCGGGGGACCGCAAGGCCUCGCGCGAUUGGAUGAGCCGACGUCGGAUUAGCUAGUUGGCGGGGUAAAGGCCCACCAAGGCGACGAUCCGUAGCUGGUCUGAGAGGAUGAUCAGCCACACUGGAACUGAGACACGGUCCAGACUCCUACGGGAGGCAGCAGUGGGGAAUAUUGGACAAUGGGCGCAAGCCUGAUCCAGCAAUGCCGCGUGUGUGAAGAAGGCCUUCGGUUGUAAGCACUUUAUCAGGAACGAAAAGACGUUGGAUUAAUAACUCUGACGUGCUGACGGUACC